AAAUUUGAUCACCCCAUUGAAGUUUCCAGAAUUUGGCCUCCUCACUUGAUGAGUGAGUUUCCUGCAGAAAAAAACAAUUAGCCUUUUGCUCCUUGCAAUAAAGAAAAGUAGCCUUAUGUUUGACUUUAUUUUUUAAACCCCUAGUAUUAAGUGAAAGUAAAGAUAACAUGAAAUAAACACAGUAGUUGUGCAAAAACUAAACUCAGGACCGAUGAGCAGGAAUGAGAGAACAGCCAAUAACAGCUAUAUGAAAUAGUGCAAUAGCCCUUUAAACAAAUACAGACAUAAUAUACCGUACCAGUGGGAGUAAAGGAACAUGGCGGUGUAAUUAGUCAGGGUCCACUCUUCGAUUAUCGAUCAGGGCGAAACCUUCCUUCAGGUAUGCGCGUUUGCCUCUCUCUGCUCCCUGAACCAGGGGCCACAGUUUGGCCCUGGGAUCCUGGCUCCCUGAACCAGGGGCCACAGUUUGGCCCUGGGAUCCUGGCUCCCUGAACCAGGGGCCACAGUUUGGCCCUGGGAUCCUGGCUCCCUGAACCAGGGGCCACAGUUUGGCCCUGGGAGCCUGUCCUCCUUAGAAAAGUCCUCCUUGAAGCUGAUGUGCAUUUCUUUACAACCUUUAGCCUCUUUGGAUUUCCUCCAGACCUCAUCCCGCAGGGUUCGCAUCCCGAACUGAAUGAUGAGGCUCUGGGUCGGUUGUUGGCCGAAGCGGCUCCAGCUUUGUUCCCCAAUCUGUGAACGGUGUCGACUGUAUCUCGCAGCCGAUCCACGGAGACAGGAAUGAUCCUAGUGAGGAUCCCGAUGAUGGAUUCCCGUACGUCCUCGUCGUCUUUCCCGGGCAGUCUGGUCCGGUCCAGUCCGGUCACCCUCAGGUUCCAGCGUCUCUUGUAACGAGCCUGGUCUUCACAGGAUCCUCAGCGCUGCGUUUUCUUUUUUGAGAAGGUUAACCGUAGCUUGGAGCUCUGAUAUGCCUUUCUUAUUUACCUCAAUGGCGACAGGAUUAGCUUCUAUGCGUUUGUCAAUGCUUUUUAAAAUUUCAGUCUGAUUGUCCAUCUUUGUGUUAAGUUCUCCUAUCGCACGGAGGAUGGCGUUCGCUGUGUCCUCGUUACAUUCAGACUCUUGUAGCUUCAUUUUCUUCUUGCUUUUGUUUUUAAUAGGUGUGUGAUCCCAGUUCACCUUCUGUUCUUUACCAGAAGGAUCAGACGUGGCCCCGACCAACUCAAUGUCUUCAAUAAUAUCUUCGUCUCAAGCCUCUUGGAGAGCCGACCGGUUGUAGUCUGACAUGCUGACCUCCGUAGAUAAAUUCCCAGACGGCAAAAAUGAAUAAGAAGGCUGAAAUGGUUUCAAAAAGUUGUUAAACUAAGAAUAAAAAAACCUACGAUGUUUUAAAACAGGGGCUAAAGCACAAAAUUUGGAUUAAAUCUAGGCUAAACAAUAACUGUAUACUAGAGCCUGCAAAAACAACAGCUCUCACUCCGCCAUCUUGGGACCUCUCUCAGACUCCGCUGUUUCUCCCAGUAAACCGGUUCGUCUCCCAGUUUUCUUCCAGUUAACUGAGUCGAAAGGCGGCUUGAAGCGGGGACAGCUCGCCGGGAUGGAAGAGUAUCAGCACGGCAGCGAGGGUUCAUUCAACUCAGAGGAGGCGGAGAACGUCGUCAAAGAGCCCCAUCACCACCGCCGCACUGGGAGGGGAGUGCAUCCCAGUUAGAGCAUCUAUUUACAUCCACUCACUGCUUCGCUCAGCUGUCUGCGCCUCCCUUCCCUUCUCACACAAAGUAGUGGGCCGGUGUCGAGUGCUGCUUUCAAGUGCCAGUCCUGCCCAGGGGCUCAACUACAUACUUUCUGAGGUGUAUGUGCACAUGUCAUCGGUGUCUCCCCCCCAUUCCCCAAUGACAUAAACUUGUACAAUCCAUCCAUCCAUAUUCUUCCUCUUAUCUGGGGUCGGCAGCUUCAGAAGGGAGGCCCAGUCUUCCCUCCCCAGCCUCUUGUUCCAGCUCCUCCAGAUGAAUCCUGAGGCGUCCCAGGCCAGCAGAGAGACAUCGUCCCUCCAGCAUGUCCUGGGUCUUCCUCCUGAUCACAUGUGACAGAUGCAACUGGUGGUACCACCAAGGCUGCGUUAAGUUCCCACAAACCGACACAGACUGCUGCUGUGCAAUGUGUUUAUAGAUUUUAUGUUUGUACCAAUUGUUCGUUACUCUAGCAAUAGUCAGCCCCGCCCACUUCUCACAACUCCUCUGAGCUGACUACUGACCAGUUCUCUGUCUAACAGGUCCGGAAUAUCUCUAAGACCUGGGUCUUACCCUACAGGAGGUCUAUGAGAGAUAAUCUGUUUAAACUGGUGGUGAGAGAGGCUCGUCUAGCUCUAACUACCUUCGAUCCAGAAGUUAUGACCCUCUACAGUUAAGGAACAGUCAACUGAGUAGCCCUCACAGCUGCGUAGUCCCAAUAACCACUUCUGUUAACGGUAGCCCUCUCUCUUAAAUAACCUGCACUUGGAAACAGCUAGAUUAGAUUUAGUGACUUAGAUUCAAGUCCCAGGGUCGUUAUUUUUACUCUCACUAAAGGAAAGUCCGAAGCCACCACAUUACUGGAAUCAUGUACACUGAUUUUACUUUAAUUGGAGAAACUAAAACAAUCAAUGACUCAAUUAAUUUCAAUGUCCACCAACCUCUAUAAAAUUUUAUAAAGAUAUAUUUAUUAAGCAGCAAGUGACAUACAGAUUAAUUAUCAAAAAUUACAAUACUAAAUCAAAAUAACCCAACCACAUUAUCCUAACUUCCUUCCCUGACCUGUGUCACUAA